GUGGUCUAGUGGUAGAAUAGUAUCCUGCCACGGUACAAACCCAGGUUCGAUUCCCUGUGGACU
rnacentral:tRNA from 1 species